rnacentral:tRNA from 1 species
GCCGGCAUAGUUCAACGGCAGAACGAGGGACUCAUAAACCCUAAAAAGAGGUUCAACUCCUCUUGCCGGCA